rnacentral:lncRNA from 1 species
GGACAGAAAUGUAUUUGGGAGAAGCUGUACAUGCUUCGUAGCUUAAUGGAGAGCUGCAAAAUUACGAGACAAAUCUGGCAAGGGGAAAAGGGGCAGGAGGCCAUGUAGGAAGAAUACUGCCCUUGAGAUACAGGUAAAAACAGCAAGAGUUGCAGUGUGUGAGAGGACAGAAAUAACAGCGGGGGCUCAACAAAAGCAGCGGAUGUAGCAGGGGCUGAGACAGGUUACACAUUGAUGAGAGCCUCUGACAGUGGGCCAGGCUCAGGCGGCCACAGCAAGCCCACAGGGCAGGUCCCAGCUGAACCGCAAGGCUCUGCCCCACCGUCCCCAGCUCAGAGCAAAGCAGAAACUCGAAGCAGACGCUGCUCCCCAAAAGCAGCACACCAAAAGAUGCUGGGGCAGACACCAUGGGCAAGGCUGUCUCCUUCUGGCCCUGCCGUCCUGCUGCUGGCCCUCUGUGCUGGAGUGACCACCCAGGACAUCUGCAGCUCUCCAGGAUUUCGGGAGCAUGGAGGUGGGUCCCAAAAAUGAACGUGUCUUCUGGAAAGAGAUGGGAAGAGAGAUGCGAAUUAUUCCCUCACAAUUCCCCCUGUGAAGCCCCAGGAGAGCAGAUUCUUCCAGCCUUGGCAUGCAGUUGGUUUUGCCACCCGGCAGUCACUAACGCUUGUCUGGGGAAUCCUUCUGCCUUCUCUCCAGGUAACAACCAGGCUCCAGUCCUGUACUUCAAUGCUUCCAGUGCCCAAGAAGGGGAAACAGUUUUGGUUCAUUGUGUCAUUGAUUGGCAGUUUCCUGCUACGCGAGUUGUCUUCUGCAAGAAUGGGCUGGAGGAGUUCAGCCUGAAAGCCCAGCAGGGCAGGCUCAUCUACGCUCUGGUCCUGAACAUCACCUCGAGAAGUGCUGGGACGUACACGUGUGGGUACCAGCAAAAGAACAAGAAAAACAGUGUGAGGAACUCUGCUCUCAGUGCUCCCUGGACCUUGUCUGUGGCAGGUGAGACAUGUCCCCAUGGUGGUGAGGGUAGAAGGUUUUGGAAAACUGCUGGGGCUGGAGCUCUGUGCUGCAGCAGGCAGGGCA